ACCUUAAAGCUAGCCUAUAUAUUAAUUCAACUAGACCUUAUAAAUCCAAUCUAUAUUACAGUUUUUAAUCAAAACAUUCUCAACCUUUUAGUAUGGGUGACAGAACAAUAACCCCAGCGCGAUAGCUUAUGUACCGCAAGGGAAAGCUGAAAAAGAAAUGAAAUAAAUCAUUAAAGUACUAAAAAGCAGAGAUGAUACCUCGUACCUUUUGCAUCAUGAUUUAGCUAGAAAAACUAGGCAAAAAGACCUUAAGUCUAUCUCCCCGAAACUAAACGAGCUACUCCGAAGCAGCAUUAUAGGGCUAACCCGUCUCUGUGGCAAAAGAGUGGGAAGACUUCCGAGUAGCGGUGAAAAGCCUACCGAGUUUAGUGAUAGCUGGUUACCCAAGAAAAGAACUUUAGUUCUGCAUUAAUUUUUCACUAUCUAGACAAGACUUACUCGUCAAAGAAUUCCAUAAGAAUUAAUAGUUAUUUAGAAGAGGUACAACCCUUCUAAAUCAAGACACAACUUUUUAAGGUGGGAAAUGAUCAUAAUUAUUAAGGUUACCAUCCUAGUGGGCCUAAAAGCAGCCACCUGUUAAGUAAGCGUCGCAGCUCUAAUCUAAUAAUUAAACCUUUAAUUCAGAUAUUCAUUCACAACCCCCUUCAUUCUAUUGGGUUAUUUUAUAUUUAUAUAAAAGAACUUAUGCUAAAAUGAGUAAUAAAGAGAAUAAAUCUCUCCCGACACAAGUGUAUGUCAGAAAGAAUUAAAUCACUGAUAAUUAAACGACCCCAAACUGAGGUCAUUAUAUCACAAUCAAUCAACUAGAAAACCCUAUUUUCCUACUCGUUACCCCUACACAGGAGUGUCAUCAGGAAAGAUUAAAAGAAAAUAAAGGAACUCGGCAAACAUAAACUCCGCCUGUUUACCAAAAACAUCGCCUCUUGAUAAACUAUAAGAGGUCCCGCCUGCCCUGUGAUAAUGUUCAACGGCCGCGGUAUUUUGACCGUGCAAAGGUAGCGUAAUCACUUGUCUUUUAAAUGAAGACCUGUAUGAAAGGCAUCACGAGAGUUUAACUGUCUCUAUUUUCUAAUCAAUGAAAUUGAUCUAUUCGUGCAGAAGCGAAUAUAAUAACAUUAGACGAGAAGACCCUAUGGAGCUUUAAACACUUAAAUUAAUUAUGUAACCAUCCACUUCUCAGGAUAUAAACAAAAUAUACAAUACUUCUAAUUUAACUGUUUUUGGUUGGGGUGACCAAGGGGAAAAACAAAUCCCCCUUAUCGAUUGAGUACUAAGUACUUAAAAAUUAGAAUGACAAUUCUAAUUAAUAAAAUAUUUAUCGAAAAAUGACCCAGGAUUUCCUGAUCAAUGAACCAAGUUACCCUAGGGAUAACAGCGCAAUCCUUUCUCAGAGUCCCUAUCGAAGAAAGGGUUUACGACCUCGAUGUUGGAUCAGGACAUCCUAAUGGUGCAACCGCUAUUAAGGGUUCGUUUGUUCAACGAUUAAUAGUCCUACGUGAUCUGAGUUCAGACCGGAGAAAUCCAGGUCAGUUUCUAUCUAUGAAUACACUUUUCCUAGUACGAAAGGACCGGAAAAGUAGGGCCAAUGCCACUAGUACGCCCUAUUUUCAUCUAUUGAAUAAAACUAAAAUAGAUAAGAAAAGAUCACCUAGUGCCCAAAAAAAGGGUU
rnacentral:rRNA from 1 species